rnacentral:rRNA from 1 species
UACGUAGGGGGCAAGCGUUGUCCGGAUUUAUUGGGCGUAAAGAGCGUGUAGGCGGCCAGACAGGUCCGUUGUGAAAACUCGAGGCUCAACCUCGAGACGUCGAUGGAAACCGUCUGGCUAGAGUCCGGAAGAGGAGAAGUGGAAUUCCUGGGUGUAGCGGUGAAAUGCGCAGAUAUCAGGAAGAACACCCGUGGCGAAGGCGGCUCUCUGGGACGGUACUGGACGCUGAGACGCGAAAGCGUGGGGAGCGAACAGG